rnacentral:rRNA from 1 species
AGAUUAAGUUAUUAAGGGCGCACGGUGGAUGCCUUGGCACUAGAAGCCGAUGAAGGACGUUACUAACGACGAUAUGCUUUGGGGAGCUGUAAGUAAGCUUUGAUCCAGAGAUUUCCGAAUGGGGAAACCCAGCAUGAGUUAUGUCAUGUUAUCGAUAUGUGAAUACAUAGCAUAUCAGAAGGCACACCCGGAGAACUGAAACAUCUUAGUACCCGGAGGAAGAGAAAGAAAAUUCGAUUCCCUUAGUAGCGGCGAGCGAAACGGGAAGAGCCCAAACCAACAAGCUUGCUUGUUGGGGUUGUAGGACACUCUAUACGGAGUUACAAAGGACGACAUUAGACGAAUCAUCUGGAAAGAUGAAUCAAAGAAGGUAAUAAUCCUGUAGUCGAAAAUGUUGUCUCUCUUGAGUGGAUCCUGAGUACGACGGAGCACGUGAAAUUCCGUCGGAAUCUGGGAGGACCAUCUCCUAAGGCUAAAUACUCUCUAGUGACCGAUAGUGAACCAGUACCGUGAGGGAAAGGUGAAAAGCACCCCGGAAGGGGAGUGAAAUAGAACCUGAAACCGUGUGCUUACAAGUAGUCAGAGCCCGUUAAUGGGUGAUGGCGUGCCUUUUGUAGAAUGAACCGGCGAGUUACGAUUUGAUGCAAGGUUAAGCAGUAAAUGUGGAGCCGUAGCGAAAGCGAGUCUGAAUAGGGCGUUUAGUAUUUGGUCGUAGACCCGAAACCAGGUGAUCUACCCUUGGUCAGGUUGAAGUUCAGGUAACACUGAAUGGAGGACCGAACCGACUUACGUUGAAAAGUGAGCGGAUGAACUGAGGGUAGCGGAGAAAUUCCAAUCGAACCUGGAGAUAGCUGGUUCUCUCCGAAAUAGCUUUAGGGCUAGCCUCAAGUGAUGAUUAUUGGAGGUAGAGCACUGUUUGGACGAGGGGCCCCUCUCGGGUUACCGAAUUCAGACAAACUCCGAAUGCCAAUUAAUUUAACUUGGGAGUCAGAACAUGGGUGAUAAGGUCCGUGUUCGAAAGGGAAACAGCCCAGACCACCAGCUAAGGUCCCAAAAUAUAUGUUAAGUGGAAAAGGAUGUGGCGUUGCCCAGACAACUAGGAUGUUGGCUUAGAAGCAGCCAUCAUUUAAAGAGUGCGUAAUAGCUCACUAGUCGAGUGACACUGCGCCGAAAAUGUACCGGGGCUAAACAUAUUACCGAAGCUGUGGAUUGUCCUUUGGACAAUGGUAGGAGAGCGUUCUAAGGGCGUUGAAGCAUGAUCGUAAGGACAUGUGGAGCGCUUAGAAGUGAGAAUGCCGGUGUGAGUAGCGAAAGACGGGUGAGAAUCCCGUCCACCGAUUGACUAAGGUUUCCAGAGGAAGGCUCGUCCGCUCUGGGUUAGUCGGGUCCUAAGCUGAGGCCGACAGGCGUAGGCGAUGGAUAACAGGUUGAUAUUCCUGUACCACCUAUAAUCGUUUUAAUCGAUGGGGGGGGACGCAGUAGGAUAGGCGAAGCGUGCGAUUGGAUUGCACGUCUAAGCAGUAAGGCUGAGUAUUAGGCAAAUCCGGUACUCGUUAAGGCUGAGCUGUGAUGGGGAGAAGACAUUGUGUCUUCGAGUCGUUGAUUUCACACUGC